rnacentral:rRNA from 1 species
AUUGAACGCUGGCGGCAGGCCUAACACAUGCAAGUCGAACGAGUGGCGCACGGGUGAGUAAUGUCUGGGAAACUGCCUGAUGGAGGGGGAUAUCUACUGGAAACUGUCUCUAAUACCGCAUACUCUCGGAUGUGCCCAUAUGGGAUUAGCUAGUAGGUGGGGUAAGGGCUCACCUAGGCGACGAUCCCUAGCUGGUCUGAGAGGAUGACCAGCCACACUGGAACUGAGACACGGUCCAGACUCCUACGGGAGGCAGCAGUGGGGAAUAUUGCACAAUGGGCGCAAGCCUGAUGCAGCCAUGCCGCGUGUAUGAAGAAGGCCUUCGGGUUGUAAAGUACUUUCAGCGGGGAGGCGUUACCCGCAGAAGAAGCACCGGCUAACUCCGUGCCAGCAGCCGCGGUAAUAC